CCUACGGGAGGCUGCAGUGAGGAAUAUUGGUCAAUGGGCGGGAGCCUGAACCAGCCAAGCCGCGUGAAGGAAGAAGGCGCCAGGCGUCGUAAACUUCUUUUGUCGGGGAACAAAGGGCACCACGCGUGGCGUUGUGAGUGUACCCGAAUAAAAAGCAUCGGCAAACUCCGUGCCAGCAGCCGCGGUAAUACAGAGGAUGCGGGCGUUAUCGGGAUUUGGUGGGUUUAAGGGGUGCGUAGGCGGUCCGGAAAGUCAGCGGUAAAAGCCCGGGGCUCAACCUCGGCGAGCCGUUGAAACUGUCGGACUAGAGACCGCGAGAAGUAAGCGGAAUGCGCGGUGUAGCGGUGAAAUGCAUAGAUAUCGCGCAGAA
rnacentral:rRNA from 1 species